rnacentral:rRNA from 1 species
CACGUAGGGUGCGAGCGUUGUCCGGAAUUAUUGGGCGUAAAGAGCUCGUAGGCGGUCUGUCGCGUCGGAUGUGAAAAUCCAGGGCUCAACCCUGGACCUGCAUUCGAUACGGGCAGACUAGAGUUCGGCAGGGGAGACUGGAAUUCCUGGUGUAGCGGUGAAAUGCGCAGAUAUCAGGAGGAACACCGGUGGCGAAGGCGGGUCUCUGGGCCGUAACUGACGCUGAGGAGCGAAAGCGUGGGGAGCGAACAGG